UACGUAGGGUGCGAGCGUUAAUCGGAAUUACUGGGCGUAAAGCGUGCGCAGGCGGUUCGUUGUGUCGGUGGUGAAAGCCCCGGGCUUAACCUGGGAAUGGCCAUGGAAACUGGCGAACUGGAGUGUGGCAGAGGGGGGUGGAAUUCCGGGUGUAGCGGUGGAAUGCGUAGAGAUCCGGAAGAACACCGGUGGCGAAGGCGGCCUGCUGGGCAGUUUGGCUGACACUGAGGCGCGACAGCGUGGGGAGCAAACAGG
rnacentral:rRNA from 1 species